rnacentral:lncRNA from 1 species
UUAAAGUCCAAACCAUCAUAAUCCAAGACCAACAGAAGUUCACAAGGUCACACAAAUAUAAAAUGCAAUUAAAUGAAAUAAAAAUGCAAUAAAGGCAUUUUUAAAAUAGAAAUAAAAUGGAAAAUCCAUAAAGUCCUUCAAAAAACCAAAUAAAUGUCCAAGAAAAUUAUGGAAGGUUGAAAAUAAAAUAAGAAACAUAUAAUAAAAUUUUCAGAAUUUUAAAAUGCAGAAAAUAUUUUUAAACCAAC